GGUUAAGCGACUAAGCGUACACGGUGGAUGCCCUGGCAGUCAGAGGCGAUGAAGGACGUGCUAAUCUGCGAUAAGCGUCGGUAAGGUGAUAUGAACCGUUAUAACCGGCGAUUUCCGAAUGGGGAAACCCAGUGUGAUUCGUCACACUAUCAUUAACUGAAUCCAUAGGUUAAUGAGGCGAACCGGGGGAACUGAAACAUCUAAGUACCCCGAGGAAAAGAAAUCAACCGAGAUUCCCCCAGUAGCGGCGAGCGAACGGGGAGCAGCCCAGAGCCUGAAUCAGUGUGUGUGUUAGUGGAAGCGUCUGGAAAGGCGCGCGAUACAGGGUGACAGCCCCGUACACAAAAAUGCACAUGCUGUGAGCUCGAUGAGUAGGGCGGGACACGUGGUAUCCUGUCUGAAUAUGGGGGGACCAUCCUCCAAGGCUAAAUACUCCUGACUGACCGAUAGUGAACCAGUACCGUGAGGGAAAGGCGAAAAGAACCCCGGCGAGGGGAGUGAAAAAGAACCUGAAACCGUGUACGUACAAGCAGUGGGAGCACGCUUAGGCGUGUGACUGCGUACCUUUUGUAUAAUGGGUCAGCGACUUAUAUUCUGUAGCAAGGUUAACCGAAUAGGGGAGCCGAAGGGAAACCGAGUCUUAACUGGGCGUUAAGUUGCAGGGUAUAGACCCGAAACCCGGUGAUCUAGCCAUGGGCAGGUUGAAGGUUGGGUAACACUAACUGGAGGACCGAACCGACUAAUGUUGAAAAAUUAGCGGAUGACUUGUGGCUGGGGGUGAAAGGCCAAUCAAACCGGGAGAUAGCUGGUUCUCCCCGAAAGCUAUUUAGGUAGCGCCUCGUGAAUUCAUCUCCGGGGGUAGAGCACUGUUUCGGCAAGGGGGUCAUCCCGACUUACCAACCCGAUGCAAACUGCGAAUACCGGAGAAUGUUAUCACGGGAGACACACGGCGGGUGCUAACGUCCGUCGUGAAGAGGGAAACAACCCAGACCGCCAGCUAAGGUCCCAAAGUCAUGGUUAAGUGGGAAACGAUGUGGGAAGGCCCAGACAGCCAGGAUGUUGGCUUAGAAGCAGCCAUCAUUUAAAGAAAGCGUAAUAGCUCACUGGUCGAGUCGGCCUGCGCGGAAGAUGUAACGGGGCUAAACCAUGCACCGAAGCUGCGGCAGCGACGCUUAUGCGUUGUUGGGUAGGGGAGCGUUCUGUAAGCCUGUGAAGGUGUGCUGUGAGGCAUGCUGGAGGUAUCAGAAGUGCGAAUGCUGACAUAAGUAACGAUAAAGCGGGUGAAAAGCCCGCUCGCCGGAAGACCAAGGGUUCCUGUCCAACGUUAAUCGGGGCAGGGUGAGUCGACCCCUAAGGCGAGGCCGAAAGGCGUAGUCGAUGGGAAACAGGUUAAUAUUCCUGUACUUGGUGUUACUGCGAAGGGGGGACGGAGAAGGCUAUGUUGGCCGGGCGACGGUUGUCCCGGUUUAAGCGUGUAGGCUGGUUUUCCAGGCAAAUCCGGAAAAUCAAGGCUGAGGCGUGAUGACGAGGCACUACGGUGCUGAAGCAACAAAUGCCCUGCUUCCAGGAAAAGCCUCUAAGCAUCAGGUAACAUCAAAUCGUACCCCAAACCGACACAGGUGGUCAGGUAGAGAAUACCAAGGCGCUUGAGAGAACUCGGGUGAAGGAACUAGGCAAAAUGGUGCCGUAACUUCGGGAGAAGGCACGCUGAUAUGUAGGUGAAGUCCCUCGCGGAUGGAGCUGAAAUCAGUCGAAGAUACCAGCUGGCUGCAACUGUUUAUUAAAAACACAGCACUGUGCAAACACGAAAGUGGACGUAUACGGUGUGACGCCUGCCCGGUGCCGGAAGGUUAAUUGAUGGGGUUAGCGCAAGCGAAGCUCUUGAUCGAAGCCCCGGUAAACGGCGGCCGUAACUAUAACGGUCCUAAGGUAGCGAAAUUCCUUGUCGGGUAAGUUCCGACCUGCACGAAUGGCGUAAUGAUGGCCAGGCUGUCUCCACCCGAGACUCAGUGAAAUUGAACUCGCUGUGAAGAUGCAGUGUACCCGCGGCAAGACGGAAAGACCCCGUGAACCUUUACUAUAGCUUGACACUGAACAUUGAGCCUUGAUGUGUAGGAUAGGUGGGAGGCUUUGAAGUGUGGACGCCAGUCUGCAUGGAGCCGACCUUGAAAUACCACCCUUUAAUGUUUGAUGUUCUAACGUUGACCCGUGAUCCGGGUUGCGGACAGUGUCUGGUGGGUAGUUUGACUGGGGCGGUCUCCUCCUAAAGAGUAACGGAGGAGCACGAAGGUUGGCUAAUCCUGGUCGGACAUCAGGAGGUUAGUGCAAUGGCAUAAGCCAGCUUGACUGCGAGCGUGACGGCGCGAGCAGGUGCGAAAGCAGGUCAUAGUGAUCCGGUGGUUCUGAAUGGAAGGGCCAUCGCUCAACGGAUAAAAGGUACUCCGGGGAUAACAGGCUGAUACCGCCCAAGAGUUCAUAUCGACGGCGGUGUUUGGCACCUCGAUGUCGGCUCAUCACAUCCUGGGGCUGAAGUAGGUCCCAAGGGUAUGGCUGUUCGCCAUUUAAAGUGGUACGCGAGCUGGGUUUAGAACGUCGUGAGACAGUUCGGUCCCUAUCUGCCGUGGGCGCUGGAGAACUGAGGGGGGCUGCUCCUAGUACGAGAGGACCGGAGUGGACGCAUCACUGGUGUUCGGGUUGUCAUGCCAAUGGCACUGCCCGGUAGCUAAAUGCGGAAGAGAUAAGUGCUGAAAGCAUCUAAGCACGAAACUUGCCCCGAGAUGAGUUCUCCCUGACCCUUUAAGGGUCCUGAAGGAACGUUGAAGACGACGACGUUGAUAGGCCGGGUGUGUAAGCGCAGCGAUGCGUUGAGCUAACCGGUACUAAUGAACCGUGAGGCUUAACCUU
rnacentral:rRNA from 1 species